CCCUGUAGUAUUAGGGGAAUUUGUUUUUAGACCUGGUAAAUUUACAAGCCCCCCUCCCAAUUGCCAAGUGUCUUUGAGGAUUCACUUAUAUUUCUCAACAAUUUGCUUUUCAUUGGAUUCGAACUCAGGUAGCUUCGCUCAUAUAUCAAGCACCUAACCACUGGGCUAGCUCUUCUCUAUUAUAAAUUAUCACCUCAAAAUAAAUUAAUUUCAAAGCAAUAAAUCUCCAGAUCUACAUCAUCUUCCCCAAUUUUAAAACCCUAAUAAAUUCUGCAAUCUUCUUCUACUUCAUUUCCAGCAAAAUAACAAUAGAGAGCUAGUUAAAAUGAAAAUGUAAUACAAUACAUAAAAUAGCAACAGAAAGAGAAAUUCAUUUCAAUUCCCUCUACAAAUUUCUCUUUUUGUCUCUCGGUUCUUCAUUAUAACAUCACUACCACCCAUGAAUUCCUUUCUUUCUCCAACUUCUCAUAUCCAUUUUAUAAAAGUUUCCUCAAAUCAAUAACACAAACACGACAUACCAUACAUGAUUAUAGAUCAAACAUGUUCACAGAAACAACAACAAAAGGAUGCGAGGUUGGACUAGCGUGAGGAGGUUGCAAACCGCGAGAUUCACUGGAGUCGAGAUUCGGUGGAUCAGUUUCGGAUUCGGUUUAGUGUGGCUUUGCGAUUGCAGCGUUAUUAAUAUCACAGAAGAAGUGACGGUGGAUCUGAAAUUAAUGACACAGUGGCGGUGGAUCUAUUUCGAACUCGGUUUAGUGAUUGAUUUUAGGCAAAGAAGAUUUCUUCGGUGGCUCAGAACCUCAAUUUCCCAGGUUUUUCUUUUGUCAGUGUCUACGUUAAAUACUCACUAUUAAUGGGAAGAUGAAGAUGAAACUUUAUGAAACAAUGUUUCUGAGCAAUAUUUGGCAGCUUUGUUUCAUUAUAAUAAUAUAUUAGUAGACUAUAAAAUAAAGUGAAGGAACUAGUCUAGUGGUCAAGCAUUUACCCUAUUAAGAAAGGAACAUGGGUUUGAUUCUUGCCUCUGGCAGAGAUUUCUCUUAAAAUUUCAAAGGUUAUAAAAAAAAUAAACAAUUGACAUGUCACUAAUUAAAAUAUGACGUGGAUUUAAAAAAUAUGAAAUAAUACCAUGUGGCAGUUAGGGGUGUAUCUGAGGGAAUCUGAAAAUUGCAAGGGAGCUUUAAAAAAAAUCUUUUAUAGGGACCUAAUGCGAAACUCGCUAAUAUUAGAGGAGGUGUUGUAUAUUUAACCCUUCUUUAUAUGGUAAUAUGUAGAUGGAUUAUGGUUUUUGGACUGAACCACUAUCUAUAAAAAAUGUAUGAGUCGCAUUCAUCUCAGUCGCGACAUUAGUAAUGGCCUCCAACUUCAUGUAAUUCUUGUUCCCGCCUCACUGCUUUAAUCAUGGUUUGAUGAUGUAUGAUGAAACAAUACCCUAUUUAAUGUCAUGUCUCAAUGUUAUUAGACCAAUUUUGACCUUGUAUGCUCAAUCCUCUCGAUUUAUCAUAUUCGGACAUAAUUAGCUUGGGGAGAGGAUUGACUACCUUUCCUAUUUUAUGACUUUGUGCCUUUUGUAUAACAACAUAAUAUAUAAUUGAAUAAAAUAAUAUAUUUAAAUGAGAGAUAAUAAUUUAUUAUUAAAAAAUACACACAAAGUUAUCA